GCCUGGCUGGCUCAGUCGGUAAAGCACGCGACUCUUGAUCUUGGGGUCGUGAGUUUGAGCCCCAUGUUGGGCG
rnacentral:tRNA from 1 species